rnacentral:rRNA from 1 species
CCUACGGGUGGCAGCAGUGGGGAAUAUUGCACAAUGGGCGAAAGCCUGAUGCAGCAACGCCGCGUGAAGGAAGAAGGGUUUCGGCUCGUAAACUUCUAUCAACAGGGACGAAAGAAAUGACGGUACCUGAAUAAGAAGCCCCGGCUAACUACGUGCCAGCAGCCGCGGUAAUACGUAGGGGGCAAGCGUUAUCCGGAAUUACUGGGUGUAAGGGGUGAGUAGGCGGCAUGGUAAGUCAGAUGUGAAAGUCUUGGGCUUAACCAGAGGAUUGCAUUUGGAACUAGCAGGCUUGAGUACAGUAGAGGAAAGCGGAAUUCGUGGUGUAGCGGUGAAAUGCGUAGAUAUUAGGAAGAACACCAGUGGCGAAGGCAGCUUUCUGAACUGUAACUGACGCUGAGGCACGAAAGCGUGGGGAGCGAACAGGAUUAGAUACCCCAGUAGUC